GCUGGGAAGAGGAAGAAAGAGAGGGUCCAAGAGCAGUGGGGAUGGGAACACAAAGGAAAGCAUAAGUCUCCUAGAAUUGGAGGAAGAGAAUUGUCUUCGUGUUUUCCCAGUGCCUCCCAUUCCUAUUGUUCUUGGGUGCUCCUUCCCCUUCCCUUUGGCU
rnacentral:pre_miRNA from 1 species